GACGAACGCUGGCGGCGUGCUUAACACAUGCAGGUCGAACGGAAAGGCCCUGCUUGCAGGGUACUCGAGUGGCGAACGGGUGAGUAACACGUGGGUGAUCUGCCCUGCACUUCGGGAUAAGCUUGGGAAACUGGGUCUAAUACCGGAUAGGAGCCAUCUUUAGUGUGGUGGUUGGAAAGUUUUUUCGGUGUAGGAUGAGCUCGCGGCCUAUCAGCUUGUUGGUGGGGUAAUGGCCUACCAAGGCGGCGACGGGUAGCCGGCCUGAGAGGGUGUACGGCCACAUUGGGACUGAGAUACGGCCCAGACUCCUACGGGAGGCAGCAGUGGGGAAUAUUGCACAAUGGGCGCAAGCCUGAUGCAGCGACGCCGCGUGGGGGAUGAAGGCCUUCGGGUUGUAAACUCCUUUCGCUAGGGACGAAGCUUUUUUGUGACGGUACCUAGAUAAGAAGCACCGGCUAACUACGUG
rnacentral:rRNA from 1 species